GACGAACGCUGGCGGCGUGCCUAAUACAUGCAAGUAGAACGCACAGUUUAUACCGUAGCUUGCUACACCCAUAGACUGUGAGUUGCGAACGGGUGAGUAACGCGUAGGUAACCUGCCUGGUAGCGGGGGAUAACUAUUGGAAACGAUAGCUAAUACCGCAUAAUAUUAAUUAUUGCAUGAUAAUUAAUUGAAAAGGUGCAAUUGCACCACUACCAGAUGGACCUGCGUUGUAUUAGCUAGUAGGUGAGGUAACGGCUCACCUAGGCGACGAUACAUAGCCGACCUGAGAGGGUGAUCGGCCACACUGGGACUGAGACACGGCCCAGACUCCUACGGGAGGCAGCAGUAGGGAAUCUUCGGCAAUGGACGAAAGUCUGACCGAGCAACGCCGCGUGAGUGAAGAAGGUUUUCGGAUCGUAAAGCUCUGUUGUAAGAGAAGAACGGGUGUGAGAGUGGA
rnacentral:rRNA from 1 species